UAGCACAUGAACUUUCGUUCAAUUUGGCAGAAUAUAAAUAUCAUAACAAACUUCUUCAAGCUUGCAACCAUAAGUUUGUUCCAUUUUCUAGAAGAACUUUGAAAAGAGAAAUUAUGUCAGUGUACAAGGCUGAGAAAGCCCGACUUGAAGGAUUUAUAAAUGAUUCUACGCAGCGAGUUUCAUUGACAUUUGAUAUGUGGACUUCACAGCAGACAUUGGGUUAUCUAUGUGUGACAGGACAAUAUGUUGAUAGAUAUUGGAAGUUGCAUGCUCACAUGUUCAGUUUUGUACAUGUGCCUCCGCCACAUAAUGCAAAUAGUUUGUGUGAGGCUUUAUUAGAAUGCAUCUCUAAAUGGAACAUUCAAUCAAAGUUAUUUUCUAUUACAGCUGACAAUUGUUCGACGAAUGAUAGUGCAAUAACUACACUAAAAAGGAACUUAGGAAGAAGAAAUCUUAUUCCAAUGCAGGGGCAACAUUUGCAUAUUCGUUGUGGUGCGCAUAUUCUAAAUCUUAUAGUUCAAGAUGGUAUGCAGGAUCUGCAUGAUACAAUUUCAAAGAUUCGUGAAAGUGUUAAAUAUGUAAAGGGAUCACCAAAGCGGUUACAUUCCUUUAAGGAUUGUAUAAGAACAGUGGGCUUAAUUGGUACAAAGAAAUUAACUUAUGAUGUUCCAACUCGAUGGAACUCUACAUAUGUUAUGUUGAGAGAUGCAUUGUUCUACAAAGAUGCAUUUCAACAUUUAGCUUCUAUAGAUCCCAAUUAUACAAAUUUACCUUCUGAUGAUGAAUGGUCUUAUGCAACUACCUUGUGCCAGUUUUUGAAGUUAUUCUAUAAUGUUACAAAUAUCUUCUCUGCCACUAGAAACGUAACAGCUAAUGUGGUUUUUGAAGAAAUACAGAAGGUACGCAACCAUUUGCGUAAAAAUCGUUUGGCAGACAAUGAUUAUAUAAGGUCAUUAGCAUACAAAAUGCAAGAAAAGUUUGACAAAUAUUGGAAAAAUGACUAUAAUGUCCUUUUUGGAAUUGCAUUUGUCUUAGAUCCUAGAUCCAAACUGGGAUAUUUGAAGUAUGUGCUUGAGAGUUUAAAUGAAAUUGAUGCAAUGGUACAAUAUGAAAAAAUAGAGAGUAGUCUUCAUGGAUUGUAUGUUGAGUACAAAAACGUGUAUGGUACAGACAAUGAAGAAAAUGAAAAUGCAAACAACGCCAUUGUUGAUUUUGAAGAAGAGAGGGCUUCAACUUUUUCAAGAGAUGCCUUCUUCACAUAUUACAUGAGUUCUGCAUCUUCUCAAGUACCUCGCACAGAUCUGGAAGCAUAUUUAACUGAUCCAAUAGAACGAUCUCGGCCUAAUGAAGACUUCAAUAUAUUAUCUUGGUGGAAGGCAAAUGAAAAUAAAUAUAGAGUUUUAUCCAAAAUGGCUCGAGAUAUCUUGGCAAUCCCUAUAUCCACGGUUGCAUCUGAGUCUGCAUUCAGUACAGCUGGAAGAAUCAUUAAUGAUUAUCGAUGUUCAACCACUCCCGAAACUGUUGAAGCACUAGUUUGCACACAGAGUUGGAUUCGUGAUGAAGAUAUCUCAUGUGAAACUUUUGAAGAAAAGGAAGAAUCUUCUGGUGACGAAUUAGCAUGAAUUAUAUUUCAUUGUGGUAAAACGUUUCUUUGACAUUUUAUAACAUUGUAGUGAAAGCACAUAUGAAGGCGAAGGAUGUCACAUAACAAAGCUUGAUCAGAUUUUGUUCAAUGGGAAGACAACGCUGGUGUUGCUCUUGUUUGCUCAGCCCUCCUAAUAUAUAUGUAGCAUGCUAUGUGGGUGGGAUUUGUACUCUUUUCCUGCCUUGGUUGUUAAGGUGGUUUGGGAUCUUGUAAGUUCGGAAAGGAAGAUAUCAUGUGCUGUUUGGAUAGCUGGUAUUAUCACUAAUAUGGAGAUACAAUGUUCAAUCAUGUACUUUGACACUAUUGGAAAACAAGUGCAACUUCUAUGGAUUUCUUUUUUACUAAGGCUGCUUUGCUUUGUACUUGGGUUCUAAACUUAGAUGCUAUUAUGUUCUUGAUUUUGUGGAGCUUUAAAAUACUUCAUGAGUCCUUACUCCACGCCCAUGUAACGAACUAACUAUGUAAGGUUUCUUACAAUGAAGGACUAUUGUUUUUACAUGGGAGUUUAUGUAAUGUGGUGCCCUGUCCGAUGUAUCUAUGU